GAUUAUGCUUUAUUAUUGAUAAAUAUUCACUCAUUUGCAUCCUUGAACAUGUAUGUUCUUCAUAUAGGAAAUUCAACUGGAACAGGAGAAUGCAUUUCUUAGAUCAAAGAUAGCAGAAAAUGAGAGGUUGCAGGAACUAAGCAUGAUGCCAGCAGCAGGGCAAGAGCAAGAUUACAAUGCAUUUCAGCAAUAUUAUGCAAGAAAUAUGCUUCAACUCAAUAUGAUGGAAGGAAUGCAGCCUUCUAAUAAUUAUGAUCCAUUAUUGUCUGCUGACAAGAAGUCUCUCCACCUUCACUGAACUCAGUUAAUCCAUUUGGCUGUGGAGAAAGAAAUUUGGUCUGUUGGAACAUAUAAAUAAUCUUUAAUCUCUGUGCUUUUGCUUUAGUACCUUGUUUUUGGUGUUUUUGAAUUCUUUGCUAUUAUUACGUGUAAUUGAAUGGACGUGUCAGUUUAUUUUCCAAUAGACUUUGCAACUUCUUAAAAUAUUUUGGGUUUAUUUUUUGAGAUUAGAUGGAAUGAACUAGUUAACGGUGUUAAACUAAUUUGAUUUGGUGUAA